CCCAGUAAACGGCGGCCGUAACUAUAACGGUCCUAAGGUAGCGAAAUUCCUUGUCGGGCAAGUUCCGACCUGCACGAAUGGCAUAAUGAUGGCCACACUGUCUCCUCCUGAGACUCAGUGAAGUUGAAAUGUUUGUGAUGAUGCAAUCUCCCCGCGGCUAGACGGAAAGACCCCAUGAACCUUUACUGCAGCUUUGCAUUGGACUUUGAACCGAUCUGUGUAGGAUAGGUGGGAGGCAGUGAAACUAGGACGCCAGUCUUAGCGGAGCCAACCUUGAAAUACCACCCUGAUUUGUUUGAGGUUCUAACCUAGGAGCGUAAUCCGCUUCGGGGACCGUGCAUGGUAGGCAGUUUGACUGGGGCGGUCUCCUCCUAAAGGGUAACGGAGGAGUGCGAAGGUACGCUAGGUACGGUCGGAAAUCGUGCUGAUAGUGCAAUGGCAAAAGCGUGCUUGACUGCGAGACCGACAAGUCGAGCAGAUACGAAAGUAGGUCAUAGUGAUCCGGUGGCUCUGCAUGGAAGGGCCAUCGCUCAACGGAUAAAAGGUACUCUGGGGAUAACAGGCUGAUACCGCCCAAGAGUUCAUAUCGACGGCGGUGUUUGGCACCUCGAUGUCGGCUCAUCUCAUCCUGGGGCUGUAGCCGGUCCCAAGGGUAUGGCUGUUCGCCAUUUAAAGAGGUACGUGAGCUGGGUUUAAAACGUCGUGAGACAGUUUUGUCCCUAUCUGCCGUGGGCGUUGGAAGAUUGACGGGGGCUGCUCCUAGUACGAGAGGACCGGAGUGGACUCACCUCUGGUGUACCGGUUGUCACGCCAGUGGCAUCGCCGGGUAGCUAUGUGGGGAAAGGAUAACCGCUGAAAGCAUCUAAGCGGGAAACCUGCCUGAAGAUAAGUCUUCCUGGAGGCUUUGACCUCCCUGAAGAGUCGUUCGAGACCAGGACGUUGAUAGGUUGGAUGUGCAAGCGCUGUGAGGCGUUGAGCUGACCAAUACUAAUUGCUCGUGAAGCUUGAUCCU
rnacentral:rRNA from 1 species